rnacentral:rRNA from 1 species
GAUGAACGCUGGCGGCAGGCUUGACACAUGCAAGUCGAGCGGGGUGAUGGUGCUUGCACUAUCACUUAGCGGCGGACGGGUGAGUAAUGCUUAGGAAUCUGCCUAUUAGUGGGGGACAACAUCUCGAAAGGGAUGCUAAUACCGCAUACGUCCUACGGGAGAAAGCAGGGGAUCACUUGUGACCUUGCGCUAAUAGAUGAGCCUAAGUCGGAUUAGCUAGUUGGUGGGGUAAAGGCCUACCAAGGCGACGAUCUGUAGCGGGUCUGAGAGGAUGAUCCGCCACACUGGGACUGAGACACGGCCCAGACUCCUACGGGAGGCAGCAGUGGGGAAUAUUGGACAAUGGGGGGAACCCUGAUCCAGCCAUGCCGCGUGUGUGAAGAAGGCCUUAUGGUUGUAAAGCACUUUAAGCGAGGAGGAGGCUCUUUUGGUUAAUACCCAAGAUGAGUGGACGUUACUCGCAGAAUAAGCACCGGCUAACUCUGUGCCAGCCGCCGCGGUAA